CCUGCCAUGCUGUCUCCUGGCUGGGGUCCUAGGGAGGCUGCUGCUCUGGGCGGGCCUGCACAGACCCACUCCCUGGCUUUUGGGGUGGGGAGCUGCUUUGGUGUGUGUUCUCAUCCAAGUCCAACAGGUGAGACCUUGACUGUAGCUCCCCCUAUAUUCUGCCCUCUCUGUGCACCUCCUCAAGUACUGCUCUGUUCCUGUCACUUCUGAGGACCCUGAGAACCUCCCAAACCCACUGCCCCUCUCCCUGAAAUCAGUUCACCUGACCUAAGGUGCCCUGUCCUGUUGGGUCCUCGCCUGAGGGGCUGACACUCCCGGGGACUGUGAGUAGGAGGGGUUAUGGGAUGGAAGCCAGCUUUGGGCUGGAAGCGCACCCCUCUGGUGGGGAAGUGCAGAGCUGGGGGUGAGGUUGCGCUGUCUUCAGCUGCCCCAAGUGCAUGCUGCUCUGGAGGCCCGGUCCCCACUUGCUGGAAGUGCUGAAAAGAAGGCUCAAUGUCCAUGCAGCAGGGACUUCCAGCUUGGGGUGGGAAGCGGGACCACCAGGCGCUGCCUGAGGGGUCCAGAGUUGUGGUUGUGAGCCCAGACCCCCGCUGGAGCCAGGGCUGCGCUCCAUGCUGCUCCUCAUGGCCUCUGGCUCUGAUCCCUGGGCCCCUCCCCUGCCCUCCAAAACACUGGUGCUGCCUUCCCUCUCCUCCCUGGGGAACCCUAGGUCUUCCACCUGCAGCACUCAGCUGGGUGCUCACCCCUCCCUUCCCAUCAUGCUGGCCACCCAUGUACCCACGCUUCCCCAGGCCUGUUUCCCCAUCUGUAGAAUGAGUGCCAGGACCAGACCAUCUCCAAGGUCAUCACCAAUCCUGACAUUGCUUGUGUUUAGUACACAUUUGCUAAUUUGUAUUUUAUUUAUAUGAAUGGAGACUGAAUGACGUAGAAGAGACUUUGGAAUUCCCAGCCUAAGAACUUCACUGCAGCCCUCUUUUUUUUUCUUCAAGAGAUGGGGUCUCACUAUGUUGCCCAGGCUGGAGUGCAAUGGCUAUUCACAAGUGCAAUCCCACUUGUGAAUCAGCACGGGAGUUUUGACCUGCUCCAUUUCUGACCUGGGCAGGUUCACCCCUCCUUAGGCAACCUGGUGGUUUCUGGCUCCCGGGAGGUCACCACAUUGAUGCUGAACUUAGUGCAGACACCCGAUCGGCAUAGCACACUACAGUCCAGAACUCCUGGACUCAAGUGAUCCUCCAGCCUCAGGCUCCGAGUAAUCUGGACUAAGGAGGCAGAUUUCCAUGGGAGCUGAGCUUCAAGCAUAGCUGAUCUUACCCGUGCCUGCUGUUCACUCUUAGAUGAGGACUGAACCUCUCGGAGCCUUUUUCCUUGUCUGUCAAACAAGGAUUGUGGUUUCUGCGUCAGGCCAGUGCUGGGGCCGCAGGCUCCAUGGAUGGGGGGCCUGGCCAGCUGACCCACCAAUGUCCUCCUUCGUCUUGUUUCCUAAGAGUGUUGACCUUAUUUGCGUCUUCACUGUCUUCUUGAAAGUAGCUCAAGGCCUGGCCCAUGGUAGCUGCUGGGCUCAGCUAUUUACCGAGCUUCUCUGUGCGCCCAGCACUGUUAGGUGCUGAGAAUAUGGUGAGGGGCAAAGUGAAACUUGGCCCCUGCCUGGGUGAAAAGUUGGGACUGGACAGGAAUUCAUCCCAGCGAGUUCUAGGUGCUGCGUGAAUCUGUGCUGGGGAAGUCUGGGAACAUUUCCUGGAGGAGGCGAAGACGGAGCUGCCCUGAAGGAUGAGCAGAGUCCGGGCUGAGGAGGAGGCUGGGAUGGUGAGAAUGUUAAGGCUGAAGGUGAGGCCUGGGGGCCUGAGCAGCCUGGAGCGCUCCUGGGCAGAGCGGAGACUCCUUCGCUGAUCGAGAAGCCUGGCUCGAAGGCGUAGACAGCCCUGCUAAUGAAGCUGCUGCGCACAUUUCACAAAUCCACUUUUCCUUCAAUGAAGGGCGAUUGAAUUUGUAGUUGCGUGAAGGUUCCUGAGAGUAUUCUAAAGAGGUCGUAAAUCAGCCUCAUUCCUCGGCACGCCCCUCAUAUGAGAAGGCAGUCCAGCGCUUGUGUGGGUCUCUUGGCCGAGCUGUCACUUUAUUUUACGGUGAUUUUUCAGAGUCCGGCUAAGACUUGCUCAGAUGAUAUAAGGGAGCGCAGGCUGGAGGGACGGGCAGAUCCGCCGGGAAUCAGCUGCAAAGACUCCCUGUGCCUUUUCCGGCGCAGGAAGAAACUGAUGGGAGCUUGUAAGUUGUCUUCUUCUUGGGGGCCGCCUUGUCUGUCUUUUUUCAGACUCCAAAGUCUGAGUUAUUUAUAGGUUCUCUCCAGAGAACUUUGUCCUUGCCCCUCCCAAGUCCCGGGUUCGGGUGGGUGCUCUGUGGAUUUCAAAGCUACCGAUGACCUGAGAAGCCUGCUGGGGCCACAGCUGCCGUUCCUGAAUGACUUCCUCCCCUUUUGGAAGCCCGGGGAGCAGAGACCUCUGGCUCAGGCCCCUGGGAGGGCAAGGUCUCCAUUGGUAGCAUUGGAAGGGUGAAGGCACCUGUUCUGCACGGGUUCACAUCCUGCUUUUUCUUGGAAAGCCCCGUUCUGGGUGUGAACGAAGUGCAGCCAUGGGCCUUUCAGUCUAAGUGGACGGUGGGGAUGGGAAUGCCCUGUACCGGUCUCUCCAUCCCCGGCAGGUUCCCACGAGCGCAGACUAUUCCUAAUCUGCUCUGUGAGGUUGUGAAACACAGGCUCAGGAAACUUGCUCACAGCCCGCUGAGGGCAGCAGCAAAGCCUUUUCCGUUCAGCCUCAUGACUCGGGAAGCUUCACAGGCUGCAUGUGGUGCUCGCCACCUCUACUGCAGUGAAGCUCCGUUUGUUAUUAAAACAUGGAAUAGGGAUACUUGAGUGAGUGAGGACUCCCUCGGAAGACUGGAAGAAACUCCAAUGUCCUUUCGAGGUGGAAACAGUUCUUUCUGAUUUUGCCUUUCCGUAGCAGUUAGUUACUGUAUUUGCACAGAAAAUACAAUCAUUUAAUUAGUUCCUUCUCACACCAGCUCGAAGAUCUUAAAAUAACAGCAUUCUCCUCCCUUAGUAAUUUUCUUGCAAAAGCAGAUAAUUUCCUGCAGUGUUGAGCUCGCCUUCCCUCAUGCCGAGCACCUCGUGCACGGCGCCAUUUCCCGAUGCCCAGAGAUAAACGAAGUUCAAAUUAAAGAAAGAAAAGAGCCAGGCAGAGUGUGGCCGCUUCCAUUCAGAUCAAUUUUAAUUCAGAAAGAAUUCUUUAUGAGGCUUCCUCGCUGUGCAUAUUUCCGAAGCAUCAGAAGUGGAGAUAGCAUCUCCCAGGCCUCAGCGGGGAGAUCCGGCGGUUAGGAUCACCUCGAAGCUUCUGCUUCUGAUGUAAUGUUACUUGAUAAUAAUAAUCCCUCACUAUUUACAUAGCACUCCUGAUCAGUAAUAAUAAAGUUAAUAAUUACGGCCCCCAUCGAGGUGCUGGAUGCCGCGUCAGGGACAUCACACCCACUGCCUCAUUUGCUCCUGGAGAGAGACCUACUCAGGCGAUACCAUGAUUAUGUGCAUUUUUCAGUGGUAGAACAAUAAGGUUCGGCGUGGCGGGAGGACUUGCCCCCCGUCACGCAGCUAGCGAGGAUCUGAGAUGUGGUUUCGUUUGAUUUCCUUCACUCUUGUCUGACUUCUUUUUAAAAUUCUUUUUUCUUUAUUACUAUUUUUAAAAUUGUGGUAAACAUAUGUAACAUAAAUUCGCCAUUUUAAUGCUUUUGAAGCGUAUGGUCCUGGGGGCAUGAAAUGCAUGCACACUGUCGUGCAGAUGCCACCGUCAUUCUCCUCCCCUACAUUCCCACCUUCCCAAACUGAAACUCCGCCCUCUUAAAAACCAACCCGCCCCUCCCCCAGCCCCUGGCACUCACAGUCUGCUUUCUGUCUCUAUGAAUUUGCUCUCAUAGAGGUGGAACUGUACACAUUUGUCAUUUUGCAUCUGGUUUAUUUCACUCAGCAUCAUGUCCUCAAGGUUUGCCCAGGCUGCAGCAGGUGUCAGAACUUCCUUCCUUUUUUAUGGCUGAGUAAUAUUUCACGGUAUGAUAGAACACAUCGUUUCUUUAUGCAUCUGCGGAUGGAUCUGGGUUCUUUCCACCUUUUCGCUCGUGUGAAUCAGGCUGCUGUGAACAUGGGUAUGCAGACGCCUUUUUGAGUCCCUGCUUUGAGUCCUUUUGGGUAAAUGCCCGGAGGUGGGAUUGCAAUCAUAUGGUUGUUAUCAUAAGUAAUGCUAUGUGAAUUUUUUUUUCUUCUUGAGACCUGGUUUGCUCCGUUGCCCAGGCUGGAGUGCAAUGGUACGGUCCCAGCUCACUGUAGCCACAACCUCCCUGCUGAAGUGAUUCUCUCACCUCCCAAUAUAGUCUCCCAAAUAGCUGGGACUACAGGUGCAUGCCAUCACAUCUGGCUAAGUUUUGUAUUUUUUAGUAGAGAUGGGGUUUUGCUGUAUUGCCUGGGCUGGUCUUGAACUCCUGAGCUCAAGCGAUCCACUCUCCUCAGCUUCUAAAAGUGUCGUGAUUAUAGGCGUGAGCCACCGUGCCUGGCUUAUGUUUUUGACCAAGCCUGAGGUUUUCUCACUCUCGUGGCUGCCUUGUGUUUUUCUCACUUGCCGGUCAAUAGCACAGCUGCACCCCAAGGAAAUGCGCAGGAAGAGAAACAUGCAUGGCGUUCAGACGACCCCGGGCCUAGAAGGGACACAGCGGCAAGGCUGCGUCAUGGGAGUCACUUUUCUCUGUUCUGUUCUUAAAACCUCUGAAUUCUGCCACUUGUGACCCAACGAGGGGCUUUCUGAGCCCAGGAAAUCCAGAUCCGUCAGCCUUGGGAAGUCAGAAGCAGGCGGUACUGGUGCCGGGCCCAGGGUGGGAAAGGAAGCCAUUCCGGGAGGCAUCGCUCGGCGCUGCUGAGCUUGCUCAGGGUAACAGUUUGCGUUCCAAGUUCAAGCCCAUUUCUCCUCCUCCUCCGCUUUUAGGCACUAUUCCCAACUGACUACCUCAUUGACCAGUUAAGUAAUUCAAUUUUCACUCUGUAAAAAUAAAGCACUCAAUAAAAACCCUAUGUUUUUCUCAAUUUAUUCCCAUCGAUACCACUUAACUCCAGCCAAGUUUAUUUUCUGAUUUUUCAUAUGACCAUCAAAUAGGCCUUCUGGGCGUCCACUUUGUGUGCUGCCACAUUAUGACGUCAGGCAGCUGCUGUGUGCCUGGCUCUGGGUUAGGUUCCUUGGGUGGAACAAGGGACACACACCCAGGGGUUAUCUGGCUUUGGGGACCCCAAACUGGCACAGGGGUUCUUAGUUCUCCCUGUGCUGUGACUCCUGCCCGCCUCAAUCCUGGAGAAGCUCAUGAAACUUUCUCAGAACGGGAGCUAUAAUUAACAUAAACAAAGUAUAGAUCCAGAGGUCCACAGUUCCGUGGCAACGGCGUAUUCUGAUAUUCAUCCAAAUACUGAAACCAAUGUCUUCAGUUAACAGUUCCAUAACCACUAGCAGCAGGGGUGGUGAUUUCCAUAGUUUUGAAGUUGUGCUGAGUGUAAACAGUGUUUUGAGAUCAGUAACAACUGUGACCUGGCCUUGGAGAUACCUGUGAUUUCUGUUGGUGACACCCAGGUAUGUCUGUUGGUCACAUACCUGGGUGUCACCAACAGGUGAUGAUGCAUUUGCGACUUGUCACCUACUUCAUAAUGGAAGGAAAUGCCUACUUUCAGCUGGGGUUGAAAAUAAAGAGGUCAUUGUUUCUCCAUGUGAGUUCAUGGGCCCCUGCAGAGAGAAUCAGGGGCAUGUGGAAAUAACGCUGUGAGGCCGGCCUCGGUGGCUCACACCUGAAAUCCCAGCACUUUGGGAGGCUGAGGCAGGUGGAUCACCUGAGGUCAGGAAGUUUGAGACCAGCCUGGGCAACAUAGUGAAAUGCCUGCUCUACUAAAAAUACAAAAAAAUUUAGCGAGGUGUGGUGGUGCACACCUAUAAUCCCAGCUACUUGGGAGGCUGAGGCAGGAGAAUUGCCUUGAACCUGGGAGGCGGAGGUUGCAGUGAGCUGACAUUGCUCCACUGCACUCCAGCCUGGGUGACAGAGCGAGGCUCCAUUUCUAAAUAAAUAAAUAAAUAAGAAAUAAGAGAUAAUGCCAUGUGAGGUAGGACUCGGCUGGCAGGCUGAGAUGGGGACAGAUGGACCCCGAGGGAAUGAUGCAUCCCUCCCUGGCCCUGUCCCCUCUGCCCUGCCCCAGUGUCCCCAUCUUCCCCAGGCCUCCUCUCUAGUCGCCUUCAGCCCACUAAGGGUGUGGAGUCCAGGGGCGCAGGGGCUUCAGUGUGUUUCAUUUUCUGUUGCUCCCCAUCACCUGGUGCUUAGCAGAUGCUCAGUAAACACUGGGGAGUUCUGAAAGGAGGAGCUGGGGGAGGUCACGGAUCCUGAAGCUCAGCGGUCUAGCUUCCCUGCUGGGGAAUCUGGGGAAGUAGAGUCGAGUCUCUCUGUCCUCGCAGAGCUGGUGAGUGAGGAGCUGGGCUCCCUGGCCUGCUGCCGGCUCCUCGAGUAACCUGGGAAGCUCUUUAACAUGCUAAUUAAUCUCUUCCCUGUGGGGUGGGGAUUAUGGCACAUAUCUGCAGAGAAGAGAGCUGGCUGCCAGAGAGACAGAUUUGUUUCUUGCCUGAGAGGAGUCCUGGGCAGAGGGGAAGCGGUCUAGCAGCCUCUGACUCAUGCUUGUGGCUGUGCGGCCAGGCCCUGGUGAUGCCCACGCCUCCCUGACCAGGCCACUGGGUCAGCCAGGAGCCAAGGUGCUCCGUGGUGGGAAAACACCCAUUCCCAAGUUAAGUCAGGGCAUUUAAAUAGCAUCCUCGAUGAUCCCAGCCUCAUCUCACCCAGCAAAACAAAACAAGACAAAACAAGAAACCCACGAGAUGGGUUUGCUCCUCUUUCAACAAAGACAAAUGACUUGGGCACGUCCCUCCGAGGAAGGCUGGAAGGCGCAGUGCUGAGCGCUGGCUGGGAAGGCUUGCUCUGGCCCCACCGAGCCCCUCCGCCCACACAGCCUGGGCCGGGAGCCGAGGUGAGUCACUGGCUGCUUUCUGCGUUCACCCAGCGCCUGGCCAGGACCCAGCUGCUGGGCUGGAGUGUGGCGGCCACCGUGGCCAGACAGUUCACGCUCCUGGAGGCAGGCAGGUUCAGUGGGCUGUGCCUGGCUCUGAGCUGAGGCCCGCUCCCCUGUCCCCCAGGCCUCUGUUCCCUCCUCCACACCAGGGCUGGCAGGACCCCUCCCCACUGAGGUGAAGGUGCAGGAGGGAGGGAGGCUGCUGAGCCCUGUGGGAGCGAGCUUCUCAGUGCCAGGGAAGACAGCACUGUCGCCCCUCGUCAUAAUGUGUCUUCUCUUUCUCUGGGGGUUCCGGUUUCUUCCCAUGUCCGGAAUAGUUAGCUAAAGUGGAACAAAGCCCAGCAUAUUUCAUGAAACAUUCAGUGCCCCCACUUGACUUUUAAAGAAAGUAUUUCUCGUUGACAUGUGGUUUUUCACAAGUUUCCUGAUAUGAAUUAUUGCCUGGAAUGCUCACUUCUUAAGAUCAAGACGGAAUUUCUUUCCAUCUCGCCGGAGGCUGAGCGGAGGGCCGGGCCGGGCAGUGACAAGGAAAUCCGAAACUUCUGGGACUUGGCCGGGGCAGGGAGGGAGCUUUUGGGCAGCUUCUCCCAGGAUCCCACCUCCCCCAGUGUCUCUUGGCCCUAGGAGGGAGCCAGCCUGGCCCAGGAAGGCAAAGAAGCCCAGCUGGGGACACCGAGGUGGCCCCUAGCUCCCUCCCUGGCCUCCUCACUGCCCGGGACGUGCAGAAGGGGGUUGGUGCUGGCCACAUUAGCUUCUGAGCUGGGGCCGGUGGGGGUUGGAGGCCAUCCAUAGGGCAUGUUGGGACACGAAUUGCCCACAUCCCUCCAGCCCCUACAGGGUUCCUGCUUCCUAUGGCAUUUCCAAACGGCCUCGGGUGGGUGCUGUGGGCUGAAGACUUUGGGGAUUAUUGGCAGGCAGGGGCUUAGAAGGGAGUGGGGGAGGCAGGGCUGGUCUUCUGGCCUCUGCCCUUUCUUUCUCUGCAGACACAUUUUCUAAGGCCCCCUGUGUGCCAGACUGUGCUAGGCAUGUGGGACAGGCCAGUGAAAGAUCCGCUCUGUGAACCUGGGCAGCGCAGGCAGGGAUGACCAUGGCUGUUUCGUGGGCACGGGGCUGCAGCUCCAUCCUCUCCCUGUCCUAGGGCCAGUCCCUGCAGGACACCAGGGCUUGACUUGGCUUGGCCCUAGUUGUGUCUCCCUCAGCCCUCCCUUGCACAGGGUCCCCUGGUCCCCAAGUUUUUAUGGGGUUGCACUGCCUUGUCUCCUGUUCAUCAGGCACGCUCUUUCUAGUCUUAUAGGGGAGCCCACAGAGAGCUACCUCUGCCCGGGGCCCUGGUCCGAGUCUUCUGAGCACAGAGAGGGACUCGGAGAGGCUUCGUGACCCGUUUGGGAGGUCUGCCUGGUCUGUGUGCCACCAGCCUGGCUCACCUAGCCCUGGCCCAGGGUUGGCGGUGUGUGGAGGGCCCCACCUUUCCAGCAGGCUCCAGGGGCCCUUGCCUGCCUCUCUCACCCCGACCACACUUCCACCCUCCACGGAGGCAGCCCCUCUACUCUGCUGCCCCCGGGUCCCACGUGGCCCCGCAAGCUGUGGACCUCGUGGAGCGUCGUCUUUCUCUUCCCUAGGAGGGAAAGGAGACUGACCUGUGUUGUUGUAGGUGAGAGCACAUCACACGGAGGGCUCGGCCUGGGCAGCCAACGUCUGCUCAGAUGCCCCCUCCUCAGCUGGCUCGGUCACCCUGUCCUUCAGGGCCUGAAAACAUCCCCUGGGUCUCAUCUCUGAGGACUUGCUGCUGUGCCCUCACCCUGGGCCUGGCUUCCCUUCAUGUAUUUGUAUCCUGGGGCUCUGACUCCAUCCCAGCUUCUGGGUGGCCUGGCCCAUCCUGGGGUCUUGAGAUACUUGUGGCCUCUGGAGUGAGAGGACUUGGGAGGCUGUGUAGAGAGCCAGGCCAGGCGCCCCUCUCUUUGGGAAGCUCCCAGCCUCCCCCGCUGGAAGCGGCCCCUGCCAGGACCCCAGCGUGAGGCCGGCUUCUGGGCCCGCUCUACGGUGCGGAAGGCUGUCCCCUCGUAGACUGCUUUGGGUGGGUUUGGCCCCUUUUUGGCCUGAAGUGCAGGUGCUGACCUUCACGUUUUGAGAUCACUUCCAAGCUGUUUUUUCAUGUCUGCUCACUCACCUCCGUGCUGUGGGUCUGGUUUUCAGCAUGAUCAGAGCAGGGAAGGAGACCAGGUAGGACCCGCUGACCAGCCGAUCCACGAGAGUUUGUUGACAUCUACUGGGCUUUGGCGCAAAUUCCCGUUGCCCCAGAGAGCAUCUCGGGAGGUGUUCUUGGAGCGGCUGAUGCACUUAGCAGUGAGCUAUGGCUCUGGGCCAGACCCUCUGCCAGGGGGUGGGGAGAUGUCCGUGGCUGGGACCAAGCAUGGUCCAUGUCCCCGUGAGGUUACAGCCCACUGGCGCGGGGGCAGAUGGUGACCGGGGGGGGGGUCCCAGGAAAGGAGCUGAUGGGGGGAUGCUCUGAAGAAUGCAUGUGUGAUGGGGGCCUCUAACUGGGGUGGCACCAGGGAGGCUCUCUUGGAGGAGGGGGUGGCAUUCCCCAGAGAAGGACGUCGUCAGCCUUGUGUAGGACUGGGUGGGCGGGGGCACUUGUGGAUAAUGUGAAGGCUGGGCCCUGGUCAUCUGCACCUACCUGUUCACUUCCUCUGUGUGCUGAGGGCUGAGCUUUCUACCCUUGACCUUUGUUAUUACUGCCAUUAUUUAAAAUGGAGGUGGGGCUUCUCUGCUGCCCAGGCUGGAGUUCAAUGCUGCAAUCACAGCUCACUGCAGCCUACAACUCCUGGGCUCAUGCCCUCCCCCUGCCUUGGCCUUCCGAGUAACUAGGACUAUAGGCACGUACCACCACACCCGGCUAGUUUUAAAUUUUUUUGUAGAGAUGAGAUCUCACUAUGUUGCCCAGGCAGGUAUUGAACUCUUCGGCUCAAGGGAUCCAUCCAUCUUGGCCUCCCAACGUGCUGGGAUUACAGGUGUGAGCCACCAUGCCCGGCUCAAAUGCCUGACCUUGAUGCAGUACCCAUGAUGGUUGGCUCCAGGUGGCUGGUUGGUGAGCAUGCCAAGUCUGCUGCUAAUGGCUGCCCGCCUAGGCCCACUGCUUCUGCUCUCUGAGUCAUGUCCUCCCCUGUGAAAUACAGGCAUGUGGUGCCCACUGGUGACACAGUGAGGGCAAGGGUGCUGGGCACCCGGCUUGCACCAGCCAACGUCCACUUCUCUUAUUCCAGGAAGGGGCUCAGGUACCCAUCACCUCCCAACCCCCAGCGGUCAUUCCUGAGCCCCCAGCAAGAGAAGAUUUUGGGGGAGGCAGGUGGCGGGUGGUCACCCAUCUGCCAAAAUCUUGGUGACCACAGGGCUCUCCUGGGAGUGGAGCUGUGACCUGGCCUGGGUGGGGCGGGCCCAGCCCCGCUGCGCGUUGGAACGCCUGAGGGUUUGUCGUCAGGGCUGAGUCAUGGCCACAAAGUCACUUGUGGGAGGAAUUUUUGCAUUUCUGCAUUUUUAAAAUAAGUCAAUAAAUUCUGACUUUGCCUCCUCAUUCUACUGCAGGAAGCAAAAAUUUCCCUUAAAGCUUCCUGCCUGGAGAAGUUGGGAAGAGCUUCCCAGAGAUGGUGGGAGGGAGGUGGGGAGGGAGGGAGGCUUCACCAGGGCGCAGGCCAGACUGCAGCAGAGAACUCUUCUGCAAGAGGAGCCAGGAGGGAGUAUCCAUGGGUGGGGCAGGCGGUGGUGCUGGGAUGGUCACUCCCUAAUGUUUGUCAGGACACCAUUUAUUUAUUUAUUUGACACAGAGUCUCACUCUACCAGCCAUGCUGGAGUGUGGUGGCGUGAUCCUGGCUCACUGCAAUCUCUACCUCCUGGGAUCAAGCAAUUCUUCAGCUUUAGCCUCCUGAGAAGCAUUACAGGUGCUCACCACCACACUCGGCUUAUUUUUGUAUUUUUAGUAGAGACAGGGUUUCACCCUGUUAGCCAGGCUGAUCUUGAACUCCUGACCUCAAGUCAUCCACCUGCCUCGGACUCCCAAAGUGCUGGGAUUACAGUCGUGAGCCACUGCCCCUGGCCUAGGAUGCCUUUUAGACAGAUCGUCCACAUGAAAUUCCAUCAAGGACAUACAGGCCAUUAGGAAGGAAGCAGGUGUGACAAGGUGGGGGCCCCUGUGAGAGGAGGGAGGGCCCCUGUGAGAGGAGGGGGCCCUGUGAGAGGAGGGAGGUCCCCUGUGAGAGGAAGGGGCCCUGUGAGAGGAGGGGGUCCCCUGUGAGAGGAGGGGGUCCCCUGUGAGAGGAAAGGGCCCUGUGAGAGGAGGGGGUCCCCUGUGAGAGGAGGGGGGCCCUGUGAGAGGAUGGGGGCCCCUGUGAGAGGAGGGGGUCCCUGUGAGGGGAGGGGGUCCCUGUGAGAGGAAGAGAGUCCUCUGUGAGAGGAGGGAGGUCCCCUGUGAGAGGAGGGGGGCCCCUGUGAGAGGAGGGGGUCCCUGUGAGAGGAGGGGGUCCCCUGUGAGAGGAGGGGAGUCCUCUGUGAGAGGAGGGAGGUCCCCUGUGAGAGGAGGGGGCCCCUGUGAGAGGAAGGAGGGCCCCUGUGAGAGGAGGGGGCCCUGUGAGAGGAGGGAGGUCCCCUGUGAGAGGAAGGAGGGCCCCUGUGAGAGGAGGGGGCCCCCUGUGAGAGGAGGGGGUCCCUGUGAGUGGAGGGGGGCCCCUGUGAGAGGAGGGGGUCCCUGUGAGAGGAGAGGGUCCCUGUGAGUGGAGGGGGGCCCCUGUAAGGGGAGGGAUGGGAGCCAGUCUCACUCUGGUGGCUGAUCCCUCAUCCUUUUGCUCUCUCCCCACCUGGAGGAAAUGCUGUAGGUUUUUCUGUAACGGUGGAAGGAGAUUGUGAAUGUGAUCUGGUGUCUGUUUCUGCAUAAUUCCAUCAGGAAUGUUCCCAGUCAUCCGUGUGGCUAAAUCCUCUUUGGUGGCCUGAGUUUCUGUGGCUGCCCCGCCCCAGGUUCCUGUUGGUCCAGAGGAUGGGAGAGGAAUUCUUCUGAAAAGAAAAGAUGGGAGCGGAGUGUUGAAGGGCUGUAGGGGGUGCCUUUCCAGGCCUCCGCCUUUGGAAGCUGCCUCCUCUCACCUGGCCUUCUGGGGUUCCGCUCUCUUCCCAGACCCUGCAGGAAUUGUAGCCCACACUGCACAGGUCGGCAUGUGGUUGUGCACUGGCGGGGUGGGCAGCUCUGCUUGGUUGGUUUAAAGUUACUGGAGGGCAGGAAACACGUUCCUGUUUCCUGUCUCUGCCUUUGCAUCUCCUGCCAUGCUGGGCACAAAAGGAUGUGUUAAGCAGAACUCUUGGUGACAGGUCACAGAAACCCCAUUCCAACUAGCCUGAGUGAAAAACAGGAAUUCCUAAGCUCACAGAACCAGAGUGUCCAGGGGGCUGGCUUCAGGCAUGGCUUGCUCCAGGUGUUCUAACAUAGACAACAGGCUUGGUUCCUUGGUCUGUCUCCAUCUCUGGAGUCUGUUUUCACUGAAUAUUGCCUUCCUUCUCAGGCAGCCCUCCCAGGUCCUGGUCCAUGGCUGGCUAAAGAGAGCUGCUGUUUGUCACUGCUCCUAAGGGAAGCCAGAGUUGAGGCUCCCUGGCCUGCUUGAGUCACAUACCCCCAAACCCAUCCUGUUGGCCAAGGAGCUGAAACGCUUUGCCUGGCUAGACCCAUACACCCAACCCCUAAGCCAUGAAGGUGGCGCCUGAGCGGGAGGAGUUUAGUCUCCAAGUGGAGAUCAUUUAUUACUGGAAGAAGAGCAUACAGGUUCUGGGCAGGAGCCCACUGAGGGCGGGGUGAGGAGCUGGAAGAGGAUUUAGCCGCAGUCUCGAACUUUCCUGGCCUUGUCAUCAGGGAGUCAUCUACCCACCUGGGGAGAACAACCCGUGGCCAUUGGACAAUACUGUCUCCACCUUCUGCUGCCUGGGUCUUCAGAGGUGUCAGCUGUGGGCGGUGUGACUUCUACUGGAAAAGGUGGCAGAGCCACGCCCGUCCCCAUCUUCUGCUUUUGUGGUUUGCUGUCUGGUGAAUCCCCAAUCCUCGGCUCCGCUGAGCCACGUCCACAUGGAUCUGGCUCCUGAGUCAGCACAACCCCUGUCCUGAGGUCCCACUGCCAUCUUGCCCAUGGGCCGUGGCACCUCCUCUGUGAGUGCUUGUGCCAUUUUGAGUCAAUACAUCCUGUGGAGCUGCUGCAGUGACAGGUUAUGGGAUGAAGUACCCUGGGAGGUGACGUGCCACACCAGCAGAGCUGAGCUGUCUGGGAGGUGACGUGCCACACCAGCAGAGCUGAGCUGUCUUGGGACAGCUGGGACCUUUGCGUCCAGGGCGUGGAGGACAGCCUGGGGAGGUCCGAGGUGACCCCAUCACAUGGUGUUGUGGACUGACGGCAGUUGGGGAAAUGGUACAGACCCCCACCAUGGUUGUCAUAGCCCUAGAGGCGGAGGUGCUCUGUGGCCACAUGCGUCCAGCGCCAGUCUGAGCCUUCCAGUGCCUCAAGCUUGCUGCCCGAUCUCAACCCAAGUAAGUCAAGAACCACUGUGUUAAGUCAGGGACUGCUGGUGUUGCCAGGACUUUAGGAGCCUGGCUGGGGUCUCAUUUUACAGAUGAGAAAGCCGAGGCCCAGGAGGUGAGUGGGUUGGGCAGAGUGCUCCCCCCGGGAAUGGCAGAGCUGGGUCUAGAGCCAGGUUUCAGGAUUCUCAGGCCAUGUCCUUUCCAGAUGAAGACCUGGAGAGCGUGGCCUGCCCAGGGCCCACCCCUGGAAAGGCACGUGGAUGCCAUGAACCAGCCCGGCUGCAGUGGACUCAGCCACCUGUCUCCAGGAGCUGGGCUGGGCUGGAAGCUGGCUUCCUGGGGCUUUAUUUCACUCUCUGCCCCAGAACUGUGAGGUUCCCUGCGGCGAGUGAGCCAUGGGUAUGGGUGGGUUUCCUUCCACCAGGAAGUCAGCUGGGAGGGUUGGUUUUUGUGCCUUUGCCUCCAGCCUCCAGGUCUGGGGUGUCUGUUUACAGGAAUCGUGGGAGAGAAGGUGAAUCACAGUCAGGGCUCCUCUUGUCUUCCAGAAGGGAAGCCAGCCUUUGCUUGCCACUCUCCCUCCCGCCGGGGGGACAGCUGGUGCGUAGGCAGGCUGCCAUGGCCUGAAACCCUCCUAAACUCCUGCUGAAAUGUAAUUGCCAGUGUCACAGUAUUGGGAGGUGAGACCUUUAAGAAGUGAUUAGGUCAUGAGAACUCUGCCCUGGGGAAUGGAUUAAUGCUGUUAUUUCAGGAGUGGGUUUAAUGCUCCUGGGAGUGGGAUCCUGACGAGGUGAUGAAUUUCAGCCUCUCUUGUCCUCUUUCUUGCCCUAGCCUUUCUGCCUUCCACCAUGGGGUGACCCUCGCCAGACACCAGCCCCGUGCUCUUGGACUUCCCAGCCUCCAGAACCAAAUAAACUUCUGUUGUUUGUAAA